CCCCCCUCUCUGUCGAAUUCAACCUCUUUAUUGCGUACACGUUAUCCAAACACGGAAUGUACUCCCUCAUACUCUCCGGACAGAGCUCAAAUCUCUUAACCCUGACUCUAAUAUCCUUCUCACCACUCUCAACUCCAGUCUCAUUUCCCCAAUUCUCCACAACCUCUGGAUCGAACUCCCCAACCUCAAAAUCAUCGCUCAUUCUUCCAUCACUGUCAAUAAUCCCAAACGUCCGAUUCGUAUCAGACUGCGAAGAUUGAACAAUGGGCAAAG
rnacentral:misc_RNA from 1 species